CCCGCGGCCUAUCAGCUUGUUGGUGGGGUAAUGGCCUACCAAGGCGACGACGGGUAGCCGACCUGAGAGGGUGACCGGCCACACUGGGACUGAGACACGGCCCAGACUCCUACGGGAGGCAGCAGUGGGGAAUAUUGCACAAUGGGCGAAAGCCUGAUGCAGCGACGCCGCGUGAGGGAUGACGGCCUUCGGGUUGUAAACCUCUUUCAGCAGGGACGAAGCGCAAGUGACGGUACCUGCAGAAGAAGCACCGGCCAACUACGUGCCAGCAGCCGCGGUAAUACGUAGGGUGCGAGCGUUGUCCGGAAUUACUGGGCGUAAAGAGUUCGUAGGCGGUUUGUCGCGUCGUCUGUGAAAACCCACCGCUCAACGGUGGGCCUGCAGGCGAUACGGGCAGACUUGAGUACUGCAGGGGAGACUGGAAUUCCUGGUGUAGCGGUGAAAUGCGCAGAUAUCAGGAGGAACACCGGUGGCGAAGGCGGGUCUCUGGGCAGUAACUGACGCUGAGGAACGAAAGCGUGGGUAGCAAACAGGAUUAGAUACCCUGGUAGUCCACGCCGUAAACGGUGGGCGCUAGGUGUGGGUUCCUUCCACGGGAUCUGUGCCGUAGCUAACGCA
rnacentral:rRNA from 1 species